rnacentral:rRNA from 1 species
GAAUGCGUAAGAGUGCAAACCCUGAAGCUUUUCUCAAUAACAAUGCUUCAGCUGAUAGUGUCAUGCGCCGUGCAAUGAUGAGCUCUAAUGCCUUUAUAGAAAGCCAAAAGCAAUCUGAUAUCUUUAAUCAACCGGUUCAAGAUACUCAGAUUAUUUAUAAGGGUAAUAGAGACACACCUAAGUUAGCUUCUUCGGCAAAUUCUGACCUGUUCCAUGACGGUAAAGUCUAUUUCUCAUCCAAUGGUUUAGUUCUGGAUCGCUCAAAUCUGGAUGAUGUUCAGGACUUUACUUCAGGACGUGCUUCACGCCCUCAAGCUGAGAUUAAGCCUUCAAUUGAGCCAGCUUCAUCGAUAAUCAAUUUCAAAAUUGAAGUGAUUAAUCAGGUGAGUGGGGCGACAGUUGAAGCCGAACAACUGGAUGAGCAAACAGUCCGGAUCAUUGUUAAAGAUGAAAUGGAUAAGCAGCUUCCAAGAACGGUACAGAAGCUUGUAAGUGAUCAAAUUGGUAAUCCAAACUCAACUAUUAGUCGAUCUUUGACUGAGAAUACCACUGUAAGGCGUAACCGUUAACUAUGUGAGGCCGCCGAACGGGGGGGCAUUUCACUACCUAUACGCUGUAUUCGACUUGCUUUCUAACGAUAUGUACAAAGUGUUUCUGACUUUCGAUACACUUUGUUUCAUAUAUUUAAGAUAUUUAAACGUUUAUCAAGACGACGUUAUUUGGCGUGUAGUUUUUCUAAAGUAAUAGAAUUAGACAGAUUAUGAAAGUUUCUGGCUUGACUACUUAUCGGAACUACGAUAUUGACUUCGGUAGUAAUUUCAACGUAAUAUUCGCGCUAAGAGACCUUCUUAUUAAUUAGUAAGAAGGUGUUUUCGUCUCUGGAGUGUAUAGCCUUGGGAAAAUUAAAUCUAGUGUUAACUAUAAAGAUUAUAGUCUCCUCAAAUAUGUGUAUUCAUCCGUAAUAAUUGCAUAUAUUUGUUCAAUAGACUUGUAUAACAAACCUUGAUUAAUUCUAUAUAAAUCAUAUUAGGCAUACCAUGACUGAAUUUAAAUGGCAAAUUGAUAGUAUCCGUACUGUAUUAUUCUUUAACGGAGAAAUUAAUUUUAAGAAAAAAGAAUGGUCGAAAAAUAUAACUGGGCUUGAAAUUUCUAAUGAAAUGACCCAAUCGGAAGAAAAUGGACGUUUGAUUCAAUAUGUUGAAAUUACUAAUCUUGAUAGUAAUAAGCAAUUUAAUUUGGUUUAUUUAAAAGAUCAAAGCUUAAUUGAUUUACAAUUAGUAUUUGAAAGAGAUGAAAAUUUUUAUACUUUCAAUGAAAUAAUCAAAGAGGUAGAUUUUUUUUACGAAAAAAUUAGCGUAUUUUUUGAUCAGCUCAAUGAAAAGAUUAUUCGUAUUGGUAAUGUUGUUGAGCUUAGUAUACCUGUUGAUAAUGAAAAAAUAGGUUGUGAUUUGUUAAGAAGUAAUGUUUCUUAUUUAAAUAACAUGCAGGAGGAUUUAGAAGAAAUUAGUUAUAGAACUAAUAAAUCAUAUUUUAUUGACAAUAUUAAAAUUAAUCAGGUUGUUCAGUAUUCUAAUGGUCAGAAAAUGUCAUUGGUGAUUGAUCCUAAUAUAGGAAUUCCCAAGGCUAAAGUGCAAAAAAAUAUUCUAAUGAAUAUAGAUGUUAAUACAGAUGCUUCUCAUAGAUCUGAAUUAGAUUUCUUAAAAUUCAUUCCAUUAUUACAAGAUUCAGUAAAAAAAUUAAUAAGAAAUGGAGGUACUUAUGUUAGUUGAUACCUAUUCAAGCUCAUUAAGUUUACCUUCUUUUUCGAGUAAUACACUAAAUUCUAUAAAUCGUAGUACAACUGUAGUUUCUAAUUAUAAUGGAGUUGCUAAUCGCGUAAAUAAAAGCGUUGAAAAUUUCAUUGAUCAUACUGAAUCAAUGCGUGUUUUUUUUAAAAGCUUUCUAAAUAAUCAAUCAGAUUUUCUUGCGUUUUUUUUAUGCUUAUGUGUCAUUGGUUCUUUUCAAUCAUAUGAUCUUAGACUUGAUAGUAAAGAUAAUAUUAUUUCACCUGAGAUAUUUAAAGAUUCUAAAAAUAGUUUUUGGUGGG